AUGACAUCUUGGCUUCACUGUGUUUUACUUUUAGUGUUAUUUGAAGGUGUACAGUCAGAAAUCCAGCUCACAGAAUCAGGAGGAGAUAUUAAAACGCCUGGAGGGUCUCUCCGCCUCUCCUGCAGAGCCUCUGGGUUCACCUUCAGCAGCUAUUACAUGCACUGGGUGAGACAAGCACCAGGAAAAGGCUUGGAAUGGGUGGCACAAAUAUCUGGUGCUUCAGCUGACAUUCGCUACUUGGAUAAAGUGAAGGGGCGCUUCACCAUUUCCAGGGACAAUUCAAACAGCCUGCUCUAUCUGCAAAUGAACAACCUGGCAGCAGAAGACACAGCGGUGUAUUACUGUGCAAGAGACACAGUGAGAGGCUUCCUAUUAGACCUUAGACAAAAACCCUUCAUUGCAUUUCUUAAGUGA